rnacentral:rRNA from 1 species
UACGGAGGGUGCAAGCGUUAUCCGGAUUCACUGGGUUUAAAGGGUGCGUAGGCGGGCAGUUAAGUCAGUGGUGAAAUCCUUGAGCUCAACUCGAGAACUGCCAUUGAUACUAUCUGUCUUGAAUAUUGUGGAGGUAAGCGGAAUAUGUCAUGUAGCGGUGAAAUGCUUAGAUAUGACAUAGAACACCUAUUGCGAAGGCAGCUAACUACGCGAAUAUUGACGCUGAGGCACGAAAGCGUGGGGAUCAAACAGG